rnacentral:lncRNA from 10 species
CUGGAAUCAGACAGUGUAAGCAAGGGGUCUGCUAGAAUUUUCAGCUGUAGUGGAGAUGAACAAUGAUGGGAGCUGGACAUAACAAAACCUCAUUUGCAUAAUUCAGGAAUCUUCCCCUGGGACCAGAUAAAGUGCCAAGAAAAGGUGUGUGGCAUCAGGAGUGAGGACAAACUCUGAGAGUCCUCUGCAGUGCUUAUCACAGACAGAGAGGAAACCAUCCACCCACUGGUACUCAAGGAAGAGGAAGAGAAGAGAGGGAAGUCUCUGGAUUGCUUUUGACCAGAGAAGUGAGGCUGGAUUGAAAAGAGCUGACAAGAGCAAAUUCCUUAUAAGUCUAUUGAAACAGGCAUGGAUCAAACAAUCACAGAGACAAUAUCAUUAUGAACUACAAGAAGUGCUUUCAGUGUAGUAAGUGAAGCCACUUUGUAACAAGAGUCUUGGUAAAAGUCCUAGUUCACUCUGUCUUUAUCUGAAUUUCACUUGUUCAUUACUAGCCUUAUUGUGAAAUACUAACAUAUGUACAAUUUUUCACCUUCCUUACAAGGGAAUUGAGAUUACUGUGAGUUUAUUAAUGACUCUGAUGCCCUCAGAGGGAGGUUCAAAGUAUUGCAAACAAGGGAUAUGAGAAAAUGAUUUUCUC